rnacentral:pre_miRNA from 1 species
CAGUCGGUUGCAAGCUUCAAUACAGACAAUGGUUCUUGAUAUUAAAGCUACCAACCGCCUUCA